rnacentral:rRNA from 1 species
UUCCGGUUGAUCCUGCCGGACCCGACUGCUAUCAGAGUGAGAUUAAGCCAUGCGAGUUAACGUAGCAAUACGUGGCGCACGGCUCAGUAACACGUAGUCAACAUGCCCAGAGGACGUGGAUAACCUCGGGAAACUGAGUCUAAACCGCGAUAAGUGAGGAUUUCUGGAAUGGUUCCUGACUAAAAUCUAUAUGGCCUCUGGAUUGGACUGCGGCCGAUCAGGCUGUUGGUGAGGUAAUGGCCCACCAAACCUGUAACCGGUACGGGCUCUGAGAGGAGGAGCCCGGAGAUGGGCACUGAGACAAGGGCCCAGGCCCUAUGGGGCGCAGCAGGCGCGAAACCUCUGCAAUAGGCGAAAGCCUGACAGGGUUACUCUGAGUGACUUUCGCUAAGAAAGUCUUUUGGCACCUCUAGAAAGGGUGCAGAAUAAGGGGUGGGCAAGUCUGGUGUCAGCCGCCGCGGUAAUACCAGCACCCCGAGUGGUCGGGACGAUUAUUGGGCCUAAAGCGUCCGUAGCCGGUUCUGCAAGUCCCCCGUUAAAUCCAGCUGCUCAACAGAUGGGCCGCGGAGGAUACUACAGAGCUAGGAGGCAGGAGAGGCAAGCGGUACUCAGUGGGUAGGGGUAAAAUCCGUUGAUCCAUUGAAGACCACCAGUGGCGAAGGCGGCUUGCCAGAAUGCGCUCGACGGUGAGGGAUGAAAGCUGGGGGAGCGAACCGGAUUAGAUACCCGGGUAGUCCCAG